CACUGCGAUCCACUUGCUUCCAGCCUUGCUAUAUGCUUGUGGGCUGCCUGGUAUGCUGGGGCUGCCGUCACAUGGUCCAUUAACUAGGCAUCUUAAAAUAACAAAUCCAUUCCCUUGGAACUCUGGAGGCCUAAUGCCUGAGGUCAGGCGCCAGCAUGGCUGCUUCCUACAGUGGGCUCAGGAGGGUGUAUUCAAGCCUCUUUCCAGCUUUUGAGGGCUGGAGAGACCAGUGGUCCUUGGCUUGGAGCAGCAGCACCCCAGUUUCUGCCUCCUCAGCACAUGGUCUUCUCUGUGUCUCCAUGCUUCCCCUCAUGUGGACUGGGUCAACCUCACACCAUCACAUCUCCAAAGACCCUGUUCCGUCAGGCCACAUUCCCAGCCUAGGAAGUCAGCACGCCUUUUGGGGGACACAGUUCAACUCCCAAUAGUGGUAUUCACUUUUGUCUUAAUUGUAUUAAUCACUUCAUUUGUAUUUUUAUAAAAUAACAAGAAAAUGUAAUACUUGAAUUACGAAAAAGAAAACCUACUGCUGUUACUGAGGCAGCAGAUGUGGUCUAGGGAUGCCAUGGCUACUGUGCCUCAGUGCUAUUAGCAAGCCACCCGCACUGGCUAGAAAUGAACUGUGUCCCCUCUUUCCACAGGGAACUCCCAGUACAGCCAGCAGCAGGCCGGGUACCAGCAGGGCACAGCCCAGCAGCAGGCAUACCCCCAGCAGCAGUACCCCAGCCAGCAGAGCUACCCAGGGCAGCAGCAAGGCUACGGGCCAGUAUGGAAAUUACCAGCAAUAAGGGACAAGCAUUCUUGUUGGAGCCCUUGUGGUAGCGUGUCCGCCCAGGGAUGGACGGGCCAGUGGCUGUUCAGAGGAAUUGUGACAUGCCGGUCACCCUUCGCCCUAUGCCACGUCUGCAUGUGAAGCGUGCUCAUUUCAUGCUGGGUAUGACAUUGAGCGUGCACCACUGGCACCAGACAGCACUGUGAUGGUGUGACAGAUUUGGUGCUGUAUAUAGUAUUAUAUGUUGAUACAGUGGAGAGGUUGUCCCCUUUUUGUCCCCCACCCCCUUCUUGAGGUCCUAGCUAGCUUCGGGGGUCAUCUUGUUAUCAGUAUAAUCAUGUCCAGAAAUGGGACAUAUUUAAAAGACUCCCUCAUCCAUGAUUCACAUCAAGAGACCCGGCUCUUCUCCCUCUCCUCAUGCCAGUGUCACACUGUGGGUUGUAAACGUUUCUGUAACUGUACUUGCAGCCCUGGAUGCCCACCUCUGCUUUGCCUGGAUGGGAGCUGGGGCACUGCCUGUGUUUUAGGCCAGUUUCUGUUAUUCCACGACAAGGAUAAAUAUGCUUCACCUGGAGAGGCUUCGUACCAUCAUUUCCAGAGCUUGCCCAUUGCUUGUGCUCUCGCUAAUUCUGUUAUCCAAAAAAGCGUACAUCUUUGUAUUAGAAGAUGGAAAGGGAUCAGUGACUAUAUUCCAAAUAAAUAGGAGUCAGUGAGGGCAACAUGCAAUUAGCCUAGUGGUGGCGAACCUGUGGCACACAUGCCACCGUGGCUGUUUGUAUUGUUGAAAGCUCUAAAAGGUUCGCCGUCACUGGAUUCGCCAGACCUGGGAGUGCUGUGUUGCUGAGGAGUGACAGCCGUUCUCUGCCAACUGGGCCCUCAGAAACUGUUUUGGCUUUGGCCUGUGCUUGCUUAGCUGACAUCAUUUUUAGGAUUUGAAUAUUUAAAAUCCCCAUUUCUAAACAGAGAUAACUUAAAGUAUUGAUACGAAGUUUUCCAAAUAAUCGGCAAGUUUUUUAUUUCAUAUUAUUUCUUCUAGGACCUACUUGUUCAGAUCUCCAAGCAAGUGUUCCUUUUCUUUUAGGGAUGUCUGAAAUCCAUAUCCUAUUUUUAAAAAUUAUCCCCAAAACUUUACUGUAUUCUUUUGAGGGAAAACUAAGUUUUAUAUAAUAAAAUUUGAAUAAUUUUUACAUCCCUUAGACAUUCAGUUCCAUUUAAAUUCUGUGUAGCUCACUUGGAAAAUAGUCAAAUUAAAAAUCCUGUAUUUCCGCUAAUAAGUAGCGUGGAUACUUGAUCAACCUUUACUUGAAUAAUAAAACCGUAUCUACUAUGACUCCUUAAAAAACAACUUCAGAUAAAUGCUGAUGUAUUUCUAAGAACUACCAGGAAAAUACAAAAUAUAUCCAAUGCUUGAUACAUCAGGCUUACUGAAGAUGUUUUUCUCUAAUUCAAAAUAGUUAUGUUUUUAAAAUUAAAAGUAAUUUUUAUCCAGAGUUGAGUGCUUUAAAAUUUAUAAGCUAUUUUGUCAGGGGGUGGGGGUUGUUUUUGCUUCAGUUAAUCCUGAGAGGUCAUGUUGGAAAAUACAGAGCAGGUACCAUUCCUAUUUACAGAUGAAGAACUGAGGCUCAGAUUAAAGGCUUUGUCUGUUUUGACUACCAGUCCUAUCCUAGGAUGUUCUCUCCUCUUCUAAGGGACAGAUAGCAACAAACAUGGGCAUAGAAGCAUUUAUUUUGUAUGCACAGGGUCUAAAAAACCUUUAACACUGGUAAGGGCUUGAAAAAUAUGUGUGCCCACAUUAAAUCACAAAAACGAGAGUUUUUAAUUGCUAAAUGGCAAAGGUAUUAGUUUCAUUUAGGGAGUCAUCUCGAUUUUAUUCUUUUCCUUAGUUUUUAUAGAACUAAUUUGCAAAUUCAACUGGGGACUAAAAUUCCCCAUUGAAAGUGUUAAACAUUUACAUACUGUGAAGAUAAUUUUCAUUCCUUGCCAAUCUGGGAAUAUGCCUUUUAUGUAUGUGUUAAUUUUUUUUUAAGUGCCAUAUUAAUGCUUUUUGAAAGAAAAAGGACACUUGAAAAACUUAUCACCCCAAAAUUUCAAUCUGGAAUGUCUUACAUUAAGAAUUUCUUGAAUGUUGUGUAUAUAUUUUAAAAAGCACUUUGUGAAAUAGUUUGUACAUUUAUUUCCUAAUUUAUACAUGAUUUUUGGUGUUAAUAUAUUUAAUAACAAAAUGUUUAUUUAAUGUUUUGUCCACUUUUAUGUAAUUUUGUGGGGAGAAAGUGAUGCCAGCAAUUCUUUUUCUUGACUGUAUUAUAUCUUCUGUUAUAUGAAUGUUUGAAAAAGCUUAGGCUAAAAUGAAUUGUUCACCCAGUGUGGUUGUGCUGUUUAUGACUCCGUCUACUGAAGGCCAGAAAAGAUGCAAAAGGUCUGUGGAUUGCUGUUCAUUCUUCCUCCUAUUGUUUCCUGACUUCCAUCCAGUCAGUGCUGAAUUCGAGAAGUGAUGAUCAUGACCUUCAUUCAGAUGUGCCGAACAAAUUCAUACUGAUGCGCACGCAGAAGCUCAUCACCCAUUAGGGUUUGUUGUUGAAUCAAGGUCUCUUCGGGCUUAGCACGUUAGGAAGUGCACGGGGCCCUGACCUUGCGCUGGAACAGCCUGCAGAGAUAGUAAUAAGGUGGACAGGAUGAACGAACUCAUACAGUUGGAGUCCCGGCGAGCCUCUUAUUUUGCCAGUAUUUUUAUACACAGGCAUUGGGCGCCCAUUCAAAAUUGUAGAAAGAGGAAGACUUUUUUCCCAUUUCCACUUAAAAUUUUAAGUCAUUGCUUCAGUUCUAUUUAUUAUGUCCAGUCUGUCUUGUUAUUUGUGAGUACAGUACCUUUUUUAAAAGAGAUCCUUAUAGGUUCAUUUUUUCGGAGUUUGGCGUAUGAAUUGUUUAUGCUUUUGGUGUAAUCUCUUAAUAAACUGUUCUUCAAAAAGCAUCUGCGUUUCCAUUCGGCGUGUCCCGUUGGCGAAGCGCUCGCAGGCCCCCGCAGGAGUCGGAAC
ensembl:lncRNA